rnacentral:rRNA from 1 species
AUGGCCCCCCCUCUCUUCCUCUGCUCCGAAGUUGCUAGCUCGCGAGCGCCAAGGCAACCACGACCACUCUAUCUUAGGGAGAUCGAUGCGUUCGGCUUGUUCCACUUGGGAGUUUAUCCUCCUUCACAUUCCAUUUCACUUUCCUUUGCUCCCUCUUCCACAUUACGGAGGAAAUUUCGUUCUUUUCCCUUCUCCUCGGAUGAAAUUUGUUCUGUUCCCUUCUCCUCUGUAGGAAAUUUGUUUGGUUCCCUUUACUUGAGGGUGGGCCCGGCGACGGCGGCGCGCGGCGGAAGGAGCGGCCGGCGGCGGCGCGCGCCGGAUGGGUGGUGGCCGGCGGUUGCGGCGCGCGAUGGAUGGAUGGGAGGCAAGGUCGUGGGUCUCGGCCAAAUCGCGCCCGACGGAUCGACACACAGCGCACAGCAGCCGCCGCCCGCGGCGCCGCCACCGGCAAGCGGCACACAUCGUCUGCCGCUCACCGGCACACAGCAGCACGACGACGGCGAUUCGGCCGACCCACGACCCCACGCCACGCGGCCACGCAACCACACGCAGUUAGCAGCGGCAAGCCGGCGCUGCAGCUCCUCUGAAUCCGAUCCUCUCCAACUUUUCUUGAAUCUCUGCAAAUUGCACAGCUCCACGACUGCUGUGUUGUCCUCCGAGAAGCGAAGCUCCGCUGGUGGCGUCCCCAUCAACCAUCGCCGCCCUAAAAGAAGAUCUAUCCCCUGCAUAGGCCCUUCCGCAUCCACUCCAUGGAGGAGACGGAGAAGGGGAAAUCUUCUGGAGGAACACCAAGCUGAGGCUGGGCAGCCAUCCGGGGGUGACGGUGGCCAGCCUGCUCACCGACGACCUCAUCCUGGAGUCCUCUGUUGUCUCCCUGCGAGAUCCGUCCAUCGCUUCAAGUGUGUCUCUGUACUCUGGCGUGACCUCCUCGUCGACCCCGCCAACCGCAAUAAGUUUCCCCAGGCCCUCGCCGGCUUCCUCUACACGGCCAUCAGCAACAACGGGCGACACCACCACUUUGCCAGCGUCUCCGGCGCGGCAAUCCCGUUUGACCCUCCCCUCCCUUACCUACAGCCAAACAAGUACAGUGGCAUCACCCAGGUGGACGCCUGCAAUGGCCUCCUUCUCUACCGCCGCUACAACAACAAGGACGAUUCCCAUUUGGUCGUGUGCAAUCCCGUCACCAGGAGGUGGUUUGAGCUGCCCCCUCAACCUCAACUGCUGGAGCUGGCAAACAGACGUACCCGUACCACCGGUCUAGCUUUCGACCUGGCGGUCUCGUCCCAUUUCCAUGUUCUUAAUUUUGAGCAUACCUAUCUAGAAACUUACAUUACUCGGGUGAACAUCUACUCCUCCCGGACAGGAGCCUGGCGUCAUAGGAAUUGUGGGAUGUCUGAGAAAUGUACGCUGUUUAUCGGUGGUAGAUGCGUCUUUGUUGACGGCUUGCUCUACGUGAUGGGCAACCUUAAUUACGUCAUCAACAAUUAUGUGUUGUUGGGGUUAGACAUGGAGGGGAAAGUGUGUAAGACCAUCAGUGUGCCGUACGGCCGAGGAUUUGGUACGAUUGGAUCAUCUCAGGGGUGCUUACACUAUGCUAUACCUUCCUUCGAUGAUAACAAGCAAAUCUCUAGGAUAGAACUCUGGUGCCUCCAGGAUUCUGAUAGUAAAGAAUUGGUCCUAAAGCAUACUGCCAGAUUCAAUGAACUUAUGAGCUUGACUGGGAAGAAGCACAGGAUUGUUGGGAUUCAUCCAGAUUGUGACACCAUUUUCCUGCUUUCACGUGGACAUGGUGAUACCUUGAUGGGCAGUAGGUUUACCUUCAAGCCAUGCCCUGUGCUUCUCCAAGAAUUGGCUCUUCUAUCGGCUGAAGUAUUUGACCGUUACUUUGGAAUCUGCUUGAAUCAUGCUGCUCAAUUUGCUGGUGCUUACGCUCCUACUUGCCUGAUUUUCAUCGUGGGAAGGCACCUCCUUGUAGCAGAAGCUCCUUUCGGAAUUUCUGGAGUUCCCUUGUAG